CACGUAGGGCGCAAGCGUUGUCCGGAAUUAUUGGGCGUAAAGAGCUCGUAGGCGGUCUGUUGCGUCCGCUGUGAAAACUCGGGGCUUAACCCCGAGCCUGCAGUGGAUACGGGCAGACUAGAGGUAGGUAGGGGAGAAUGGAAUUCCCGGUGUAGCGGUGAAAUGCGCAGAUAUCGGGAGGAACACCAAUUGCGAAGGCAGCUCGCUGGGACGUAACUGACGCUGAGACGCGAAAGCGUGGGGAGCAAACAGG
rnacentral:rRNA from 1 species